GCAGUUGAGGAGGAGGUAGAAAACACUGUUUUUUAUUAUUUUUUUAGUUGGGGUAUGCCCCAAAAUAUUGAGACACAUAAAAAAAUUUUUUAAAAAUAAGUGCGCUUGAGUAUAACAAUGGCUGGGUGAGGCCGAUAUAAAUGUCUAUUCUGCACAAGGUACAGACAAGUCUGGUAGGAUCCAUGCCUGGUUCAUUUUAAUAAACGUGAGCUUGUCCACGUUGGCCGUGGACAGGCGGCUGUGCUUGUCUGUGAUAACUUCGUGCCGAUCGCACAUCCCCGUGACGGCGACAACGCAUUCGAAUGUCUGCCCUAUGAACUUUCGAUGCUAUUUUCCGCGCCUACCAUGGUGACCACGGGUAGCGGGGAAUCAGGGUUCGAAUCCAGAGAUGGAGACUGAGAAACUGCUACCACAUGCAAAGAAGGCAGC